rnacentral:rRNA from 1 species
UCCUGACUGACCGAUAGUGAACCAGUACCGUGAGGGAAAGGCGAAAAGAACCCCGGCGAGGGGAGUGAAAAAGAACCUGAAACCGUGUACGUACAAGCAGUGGGAGCACGCUUAGGCGUGUGACUGCGUACCUUUUGUAUAAUGGGUCAGCGACUUAUAUUCUGUAGCAAGGUUAACCGAAUAGGGGAGCCGAAGGGAAACCGAGUCUUAACUGGGCGUUAAGUUGCAGGGUAUAGACCCGAAACCCGGUGAUCUAGCCAUGGGCAGGUUGAAGGUUGGGUAACACUAACUGGAGGACCGAACCGACUAAUGUUGAAAAAUUAGCGGAUGACUUGUGGCUGGGGGUGAAAGGCCAAUCAAACCGGGAGAUAGCUGGUUCUCCCCGAAAGCUAUUUAGGUAGCGCCUCGUGAAUUCAUCUCCGGGGGUAGAGCACUGUUUCGGCAAGGGGGUCAUCCCGACUUACCAACCCGAUGCAAACUGCGAAUACCGGAGAAUGUUAUCACGGGAGACACACGGCGGGUGCUAACGUCCGUCGUGAAGAGGGAAACAACCCAGACCGCCAGCUAAGGUCCCAAAGUCAUGGUUAAGUGGGAAACGAUGUGGGAAGGCCCAGACAGCCAGGAUGUUGGCUUAGAAGCAGCCAUCAUUUAAAGAAAGCGUAAUAGCUCACUGGUCGAGUCGGCCUGCGCGGAAGAUGUAACGGGGCUAAACCAUGCACCGAAGCUGCGGCAGCGACGCUUAUGCGUUGUUGGGUAGGGGAGCGUUCUGUAAGCCUGCGAAGGUGUGCUGUGAGGCAUGCUGGAGGUAUCAGAAGUGCGAAUGCUGACAUAAGUAACGAUAAAGCGGGUGAAAAGCCCGCUCGCCGGAAGACCAAGGGUUCCUGUCCAACGUUAAUCGGGG